rnacentral:rRNA from 1 species
GUGGGGAAUAUUGGACAAUGGGGGGAACCCUGAUCCAGCCAUGCCGCGUGUGUGAAGAAGGCCUUUUGGUUGUAAAGCACUUUAAGCGAGGAGGAGGCUACCGAGAUUAAUACUCUUGGAUAGUGGACGUUACUCGCAGAAUAAGCACCGGCUAACUCUGUGCCAGCAGCCGCGGUAAUACAGAGGGUGCAAGCGUUAAUCGGAUUUACUGGGCGUAAAGCGCGCGUAGGUGGCCAAUUAAAUCAAAUGUGAAAUCCCCGAGCUUAACUUGGGAAUUGCAUUCGAUACUGGUUGGCUAGAGUAUGGGAGAGGAUGGUAGAAUUCCAGGUGUAGCGGUGAAAUGCGUAGAGAUCUGGAGGAAUACCGAUGGCGAAGGCAGCCAUCUGGCCUAAUACUGACACUGAGGUGCGAAAGCAUGGGGAGCAAACAGGAUUAGAAACCCCUGUAGUCC